CAGUGGCCCGAUUGGCUGGGGUGCGGCGUCCAUGGCUAGCCGAUGGGAUAGGGGCUUUGUACAGCUCAGAGCAAGGCGAGGCCCUCUCUCUGCAUCUGAGUGGUGGUGGCAGAAACGUGGUGGCAGCCAGGGAGGCAGGAUGUUCUCAAGGUCAUGCACCACCAGCCGGCCUGGCAGGGUGUCUAAGGCGUAAGCUAGCAGGGAAAUUGCAGUUCUCCAGUCACCGCAGGACGUUGGUGGAAAACACAUUGCGGAUUUAUGGCGAUUCCGAAUUUGAAGACCAAUUUCUGCCAGGCUCAACACAACUUCCCUGACAAGUGACCUUGGGGGUGGGCUCUAUGUGAGGUAUUCAACUGUGCCUCGAAGACUCUGGACACCGAGAGACUAUCCUCAGAAAUAACCGCAAGUAUACUUACUUUAAUGACUCUGAUAAAAAUCAAGCAUCAAGUAAACAAAAGUGGAAGACUACCACCACUGUUGUCUCACUUGUGUCUAAAUGUAGUAGGCUCGGUGGGUAAAUUCGGUAUGUAUCUGGACGGUUUUGAGAUCUGAAGGUACCCAUCUGCAGACACUGAGGGCCAGGCUGAAUUCAAGCAAAUUCUAAAUAGUUUCUGCCUAUCUUGGAGAAGCUUCAUACUGAGUAAACAAGCUGAAUAAAGAAAAUAAAAAACAAUAAUAGACCUUUUGUUGAGCUUAAUGUUCUCACUUUUCAACCAGGAAGGCAGGCACUCACGCACGCACACUCUGAUUUGCCAUAAUGAAUCAUGUAGCCCCAGUGGAGAUCUGCUACGAAAACAUGCGUUUUCUGAUAACUCACAGCCCCACCAACAAUACGAUGCACAAGUUCACAGAGGAACUUAAGAACUACAGAGUGACAACAUUAGUUAGAGUCUGUGAUGCCACAUACGAUAAAACUGUAGUUGAAAACAGUGGCAUCCAUGUUCUAGACCUGCCAUACAACGAUGGAGCCCCGCCCCCUGAUGAGAUAGUAGAUAACUGGCUAGACUUGCUAAAAACCAAAUUCCGUGAGGAGCCUGGUUCCUGUGUGGCAGUGCACUGUGUGGCUGGUCUAGGAAGGGCACCUGUGCUGGUGGCACUUGCUUUGAUCGAAUGUGGAAUGAAGAAUGAAGACGCAGUUCACUUUAUCCGGCAGAAACGAAGGGGAGCUUUCAAUACCAAACAGCUGCUUUUUUUGGAGAACUACAGGCCCAAGAUGAGGACCCGGUCACGAUCACGUUUCAAAGAUUCCACGGUGCACUGCUGCAUCCAGUAGGAUAUAAGCUGAAGGCUUUCUCUACUAUGACUUUGUAAGUAAACUCGUUGUAUCUGGAAUGCGCAUCUGGAAUCUUUCCUGUGCCACCAACGAGUAGUUGAUUCAACUAAUUGGUGCUGUAGCAAACAACAGAGAAAUGAUUAUAUAAAGUGAAUUAAGAUAAAAAUUAGAAGAAAAAACUAGCAUACAUUUCAGAGCAAAGACAGAGAAAACCUGGUCCUUGGCUCUCUCUCCUGCACUCUUGAGCACGGUCCCAUCAUCAGCCAUGUUGUGACACAACCAAGAGGCUUCACAAGAGGUUGCAAGCUCAUGGAAUCUUAGGCUUUCAUUCUCACAACUAUCAUCAAAAGAAAUCUCUUGAUUAAUCACCUAGCCUCGGACAUUUUAUCAUAACGGGAAAAAAUAAAGUUGAUGUUUGGCAACUCA